rnacentral:sRNA from 1 species
GAGUUGAUUAAAAUCAACUCCCAAAAAGUGGCCUGUGCUACAUUGUAAAAGUAAUACAAAUUGCAAGAUAGGUACAUGUAUUAAUUUUGAAGUUCUUCUGUUUUUUAAAUGUACUCUAUUAUUUUCCUAUAUAUAUGUUAGGUCAAUCAUAAUUGAUUCCUCACCGAAGUCAUCGAAGUGCAUUUCAAAAAUCAUCUAAUUUUGUGCAACUUCGGAGUAAGUGAAACAAUAUUUAAAUUUUUAGAAAAUGAUAAACAAAUGUAAAAUUGCGUGAAUCAGAUUUGAAGGAUUUAAAAAAAACUGUGAUAUAUAAUUCUGUCAUUGAAAUAUUAACUAGUAACAAAAAUGUAAUAAUGAAUUGAUAUUGUAUGUUAUAUGUUAUGUUAUACUAAACUUAGUAUAUAAAGAAAUAAUUACCUUUUUUGAGGGCAGUAAACAUCCAUGUGCACUUGCAAUUGUCAUGAAAUAAGUUAAUAAAUUUCAUUUCAAU